rnacentral:rRNA from 1 species
ACGUACACUCCUACGGGAGGCAGCAGUGGGGAAUAUUGCACAAUGGGCGCAAGCCUGAUGCAGCCAUGCCGCGUGUAUGAAGAAGGCCUUCGGGUUGUAAAGUACUUUCAGCGGGGAGGAAGGCGAUAAGGUUGAUAACCUUGUUGAUUGACGUUACCCGCAGAAGAAGCACCGGCUAACUCCGUGCCAGCAGCCGCGGUAAUACGGAGGGUGCAAGCGUUAAUCGGAAUUACUGGGCGUAAAGCGCACGCAGGCGGUCUGUCAAGUCGGAUGUGAAAUCCCCGGGCUCAACCUGGGAACUGCAUUCGAAACUGGCAGGCUAGAGUCUUGUAGAGGGGGGUAGAAUUCCAGGUGUAGCGGUGAAAUGCGUAGAGAUCUGGAGGAAUACCGGUGGCGAAGGCGGCCCCCUGGACAAAGACUGACGCUCAGGUGCGAAAGCGUGGGGAGCAAACAGGAUUAGAUACCCGGGUAGUCCCA